CAUUUUCUCCUUGAUUUGUAGCAGCAGUUUCUCCAUGUAUGUAUUUUCUACCGGCUCUUUCAUUUAGCACAGUUCUCUCUUUGCCUCCGAUUUGUUUGGUGCCGGGUUGCCUCUCCUCCGCUGGGUUUUUCUCUUGGUUUGGGUUUUAGAGAAAGGGUUUCAUUAUAUUAAUUGGGUUUAGGAGGCACACCUUCACAAUGGAUGGUUCCUCGGAAAAAUGUGGCGGGCAUAUUUUUUUACAGUGACACUCAAUAUUUUUCAAAUUGUAGGUUGCUUUUCUCAGGUCAAAGACGAGGAUUUGUUCGCAUAGCUAUGGAGAAGGGAUGUGAUACAGUGCCAGUUUUUAACUUUGGUCAGACUGAAGUCAAUAAAUGGUGGAAGCCUCAUGGCAAUUUGUUCCUGCAAAUUGGUAGAGCAAGGGUUGCGCCUAUCUUCCGGGGAAUUUGUGGAUCUCAUCUACCUUUCCGCAAACCAAUACAUGUGGUGGUUGGUGAACCAAUUAUGUUUUAAAAGAAUCCGCACCCCACUACGGAAGAGCUUUGAAGAAGCCACUGGCUUGGUCAUCAAAUUUAUUAUCGGCAGAAUAGGAGAUAAAGCAAAAGUGUCAGAACUCGUGAAGGAGGUGACAAAAUUUGAUGACUUCAUGCUCUUGGUUAUCAAAGAUGAGUAUAGUAAGCUCCCAUAUAAAUUAAUCCUUACAUUAGUUUCAUUUCGGUGAUGUGGAUACGUAAUCUGAUACUCAUGCAAACUUGUGCGUUUAUAUCAGGCUAACCUUCUUUAAAGCUGCCUAUGCACUUUAUGAUUCUGAGUUCUAUGUCAAAGUUGAUGCCGACAUAUAUUUGAGGCUAGGUUGAUAAUUUUAGAAAUCAUCCAUAAAAGUACAGGGUUCUGUUUCAGGUAUUAAAUUUGACAGAAAUUGAACUAAGCCGUGUAGAUAGGGAUGGCAACGGGUCGGAUCGGUUCGGAUAUCUGUGAUAUCCGAACCCGAACCCGAAAAUUUUCAUCAAACCCGAACCCGAACCGAACCCGAACGGAUUUGAAAAACCAAAACCGAACCCGAUCCAACGGAUUUCGGACCGGGUUCGGGUUUUAUCCAAACCCGAAUGAAUUACCAAAUCCAGAGCGGCGAUUUGAAAGAUGAAGCGGCGAAUAAAGUUGAAUCACCAGAUCUAGGGUUCUGUAGUUGGAGGCGGAUCUCAGACUCGGACUUGGAGAAGCAGCGGCAGUGGGGUUCCAGAGCGGCGAUUUGAAAGAUGAAGCGGAGAGGCGGCGAUUAGGGAUUCAUGACUGUGAGGCUGAGGCAGUGACUAGUGAGGCUCACUUAGCUUUAACGCUUUGAACAAUUCGAUAGCAAUUUGCACGAUUACACGUGACUAAUGAAUGACACCUAAACUACUUAAUAAUAUUGAGUAAUAUAAUAUAUAAUAUAUUGAAUAAUAUUUAUGGUCAAAAAUUAUAAAUAAUAUAUAUAAUAUAUAUAAUAUAAUAUAUAUUAUUCGGAUUUUUUUUCGGGUUUCGGGUUUGGAUCGGGUUCGGAUCGGAUUUGGAUUUCGGGUCGGGUUUCGAUACGGAAUACCUAAUAUCCAAAUCCAAAUCCAAACUCGUUCGGGUCUAAAAAUCAAAUCCAAAUCCAAAUCCAAAUCCAAAAUAUCGGGUUCGGUAAAAUCCAUUCGGGUCGAAACGGUCGGGUAUCCGUUCGGAUCGGUCUUUUCUGCCAUCCCUACGUGUAGAUAUCAAAGUGGGUUUAUCUGGUCCACUGGUUUACAUGGAUGGAUCGCAAGUUCUUAACUUUUGACAUUGCUGAACUAAAAAUUGCAUGGAACUGUAAGACGAAAAAGAUUAGUAUUUACUAUAAAUUUAAGGUCUUAUUAAUAUUUAUAGAAUAGAACUAAACUAAUUUGGCGUAUAUCUCCGCUUUGCUUCUGUGUUUUGCAUGUUUUGUAGGCAUCAGCCUCCUCCUCUGUCGGCAGCUCCCUUUCUUGAGCUAAUAUAAAUGUCUUCGAAUAACUUUGGUUGCUCUAAUAUAUACUUUGGUGUUUACUGAUUUACCAAGGUGUUCAUCGAUGUCCCUAGGUGGUAUUAUGCUUUCUAAAUUUGAUGAGCGACUAAUCUUAUGAGUGAUUGGUUCCUGUUGUCACCUUGAAGGCGACAAUAACAAGCAUAAAUUCAGGCCAGGGUUGGUAGUAUAUUGCUUGCAGAUCAUGUGUGACAAGAUUUGAAUUCAAGGAUGGGGUUUAUGUUUGCCAAUCUUGUGGACCACUCGAUUACCCUCUAGCUCUGAAGGCAUCAAAUAUUAAUAUUACACUUCCUGGUUUUCUUUCCUGGCACCAGUUGAAUCUCAUUGCAGUUCCUGUAUAUCUGUUAUGCUUCUUCCGACUAUUGCAGUUCCUAUAUAUCUAUUAUGCUUAUACAGGUUCUUUUUUUCUUUAAAUUGUGACAUUGUGUUAAUUAAUAACUGGCUACUAGGAUGGGGGAGGUUACUUUUAGAUUUUCCUCUUUUUUAGAGGCGUGUUUUCUAUUAUAUAAUUACUGCAUGUUUGGGUCUUACUUGUAUGUUAUUAAGAUUUCAGGAGUCAUGGAGCUGUUUUAUUAAUAUUGUUGAUUAACUGCUUGGUUGAGUGAUAGUGGAGGAUGAAGAACAAGAAGAUGGCGGUGACAGUGAUGAGGAAAUGCAAAAGAAAAGGAGGUGGAAGAAAAUCAGGAGAGUAAAAAGUUCAAGCGUUUGAAAUAAGAUCAAAGGGAUCAUCAUUCUGGACUUUCUGGUGGCAAUGAGUUUCAUAGAUCUGGGAGGGAUUUGAUCCAACACAGCUUAUUUGGGGAUGAUGAGGGAACAGAACUCGAAGACAUUGCAGAAGUGGAGCAACUAGAAGAAGACAAUGAACUUGGGGAUGAGGACGAUUUGGGUGAUUUCAUUGCUGAGGAAGAUUUGGACGGAGCAUGGUGCUCCUAUGAGGAGGGGUGUAAAUAAGCAAAAGCCUAGGCAGGCACAAGGAGUCUCUUCAUCUGCAUUACAGGAAGCUCAUGAUAUAUUUGGAAAUGUGGAUGAUUUAUUGAAGCGCCGUGCAUAUCAUGAUGACUCUGGCAGAAGAAAGGAAAGAAGGCUUUGCGGUGGAUUUGAUCCAAAUAUUCUCGCAGAAAAGUAUAUGACUGAGAAGGGUGACUUGAUUCGUAACACAGGUUUUCCAGAAAGGUGGCAGAUCUUCGAACAUAGUACUGGCCCGCCCCCAACAGAUGAAUCGAGUAAUGAGUAUAGAUGAAGAGAGUCUUGGAUUUGCAAUGAGCUAGAAAGAUGAUACAUUUGUUUGGAAGAAUUGUUGAAAUCCUUGAGCUGUCAAUAGUCAAGGAAGAUGUGAUGAGAUUCUUGGAUUUAUUCAUAUCCAGAAAUUGGUUGUAAGUGAUGUCUUCUAUAAUGAUCUCGAGUUGUGUCUUGGCCUUCAUGUUGAAAUUACAUAUUCUUGCUAUAGGUGCCUUUUGUUACAAUGUACAGAAAGGAUGAAUGCCAAGUCAGUUUAAGGAUCCAGAGCAGCUAAAGCGCCAGUAGAACGAGUCAUAUGUAUCCUUCUAAAUGUAAAGCUUAGGUGUAGAAAAAUAAAAGCUAUGGACAAGUUAUUUAUAAUAUUCAUCCCCACAAAUGUUUUCUGGGAUUAUCUAUAAUAAUAUUUAUGCUUAACUGCUUUUUUUUAUAAGGUGUACCAUUUGGUACAAGAUUGUAAUCUCAAAGAAUAUGUGCAGGUAUUCAGUCUGCUCUUUGAUUUGCCAUUUUAUGUUUUGUACUGGAUUGCCUCUGCUAGAUUGGGCCCUGACACAUAUAAACUUACAAUCAGCGCCAUGCUCUCUCCCUAUCUGUAUUACACAUCCGCAUGAGGGUUAUAUCGCCGAUUGCGGUCGACAAGGCGGAUGUGGAGACCAAAGCAUACAGAUUCUUAUAUGCUGGGGUGUUUCAGGCCAAAUGUGAUACGUAUAAGUUUAUUGCUUUGCUUAGUGUUCUCUCCCUUGUGUUCAGGUUUCACAACUCCGGACUAAAAAGGGGCUUACAAAGGUUUUUUACAAUGUCGGAUCAUGGCCUGCUUCUGAAGCCGAGUCCUGAGUCUUAGAAGUUUCAGAUCUUAUUAAAAGGUAGUACAUGUUACAUAAUUCAUCCUUUCAGAUGCCUGCAAAUUUUGUUUUUAUUAUAUUAGAUUAGAUGUGGCAGGUGUAGCUUUUGGCAUUAGUGGAAAUCACAUGAGCUGAAAAACUUGGAAAUUUUUUAACUUUUUAGUAUUUGAAGAACUGGAAUACAAGAUUCUUAUAAUGCCAUGUUGAAUCAUAGAUUUUGUUACAGCAGUGCUUGCUUUUCGGUUUUGAGUUUCUUUGCAUUUGAGACAACCAGGCCUACACUUCUGCACCAUUAUCUUGGAUGGAAGCAGCUCCUAAAAGAUGAUCUUUGCUUAGUUGUUCCACUUAAGUGAAGUGACAGUGGAUCUCUUAAGUGAUGUGCCAUGUCAAGUUAGGGCAAUUGUAUUUAAUCCCCUUAUGUUUUCAAUCAUACUAUGAGAAUUGCCUUAGUUUAUUUCUAGGAGUACUGUAGCAUUUCAUUUCAACACAAAAGGCCUCUUUGCCAGCAGUUUUUAUUUCUUUUCUAAUAGAAGCAAUUUUAGUUACAUCGGCUCGGACGACAAACUUGUACUAAUAACAUGUCUUUAUGUCUUUGUAGUCAAAAGUUCUUUUUACGGGAUA